rnacentral:rRNA from 1 species
GACGAACGCUGGCGGCGUGCCUAAUACAUGCAAGUCGAGCGAGACUCUUCGGAGUCUAGCGGCGGACGGGUGAGUAACACGUGGGCAACCUGCCUGUAAGACUGGGAUAACACCGGGAAACCGGUGCUAAUACCGGAUAAUCCUUUUCCUCUCUUGAGGGAAAGCUGAAAGUCGGUCUCGGCUGACACUUACAGAUGGGCCCGCGGCGCAUUAGCUAGUUGGUGAGGUAACGGCUCACCAAGGCGACGAUGCGUAGCCGACCUGAGAGGGUGAGCGGCCAGACGGGGACUGAGACACGGCCCAGACUACUACGGGAGGCAGCAGUAGGGAAUCUUCCACAAUGGACGAAAGUCUGAUGGAGCAACGCCGCGUGAGCGAUGAAGGCCUUCGGGUCGUAAAGCUCUGUUGUUAGGGAAGAACAAGUACCGGAGUAACUGCCGGUACCUUGACGGUACCUAACCAGAAAGCCACGGCUAACUACGUGCCAGCAGCCGCGGUAACAC